GAAGCCUUUAAUGGAGUGAGGAAAACUGAUUAGUCAGCAUUUAAUGGAGUGAAGAAAACUGAUUAGUCAGCAUUUAAUGGAGUGAAGAAAACUGAUUAGUCAGGGUUUCCCUUGGAACAGUGACUCACUUGAGUCAGUCAUCAACAUGGGACUCCCACACAAGUCAUCAACAUGGGACUCCCACACAGGUCAUCAACAUGGGACUCCCACACAGGUCAUCAACAUGGGACUCCCACACAGGUCAUCAACAUGGGACUCCCACACAAGUCAUCAACAUGGGACUCCCACACAGGUCAUCAACAUGGGACUCCCACACAAGUCAUCAACAUGGGACUCCCACACAAGUCAUCAACACGGGACUCCCACACAAGUCAUCAACAUGGGACUCCCACACAGGUCAUCAACAUGGGACUCCCACACAGGUCAUCAACAUGGGACUCCCACACAGGUCAUCAACAUGGGACUCCCACACAGGUCAUCAACAUGGGACUCCCACACAGGUCAUCAACAUGGGACUCCCACACAAGUCAUCAACAUUGGACUCCCACACAAGUCAUCAACACGGGACUCCCACACAAGUCAUCAACACGGGACUCCCACACAAGUCAUCAACAUGGGACUCCCACACAAGUCAUCAACAUGGGACUCCCACACAAGUCAUCAACAUUGGACUCCCACACAAGUCAUCAACACGGGACUCCCACACAAGUCAUCAACAUUGGACUCCCACACAAGUCAUCAACAUUGGACUCCCACACAGGUCAUCAACACGGGACUCCCACACAGGUCAUCAACAUGGGACUCCCACACAAGUCAUCAACAUGGGACUCCCACACAAGUCAUCAACAUGGGACUCCCACACAGGUCAUCAACAUGGGACUCCCACACAAGUCAUCAACACGGGACUCCCACACAAGUCAUCAACAUGGGACUCCCACACAGGUCAUCAACAUGGGACUCCCACACAGGUCAUCAACACGGGACUCCCACACAAGUCAUCAACAUGGGACUCCCACACAGGUCAUCAACAUGGGACUCCCACACAGGUCAUCAACAUGGGACUCCCACACAGGUCAUC
rnacentral:lncRNA from 1 species